CGCCUCUUGCUAAUAAGUAAGUAUAAGAGGUCCCGCCUGCCCAGUGAGCAAUUUCAACGGCCGCGGUAUCAUGACCGUGCAAAGGUAGCGUAAUCACUUGUCUUUUAAAUAAAGACCUGUAUGAAUGGCAAAACGAAAGUUCAACUGUCUCUUUAGUCCAAUCAAUUAAAUUUAUCUCUCCGUGCAGAAGCGGAGAUAAACAUAUAAGACGAGAAGACCCUAUGGAGCUUUAAACACACUAUUAACUAUGCCCCCCUACAACAACCCGACAGGCAAAAAUUAUAGACCGCAUAGAUGUAAUACAAGUUUUGGGUUGGGGCGACCACGGAAGAAAAAUCAUCCUCCGAGAUAAACAGUUUAGAACAACAUUUCAAAAAUUAAAACAUUUAUUAAAAAUGAUCCACUAAGUGAUCAACGAACCAAGUUACCCUAGGGAUAACAGCGCAAUCCUUUCUAAGAGUUCAUAUCGACGAACGGGUUUACGACCUCGAUGUUGGAUCAGGACACCCAAACGGUGCAGCCGCUGUUAAUGGUUCGUUUGUUCAACGAUUAAAGUCCUACGUGAUCUGAGUUCAGACCGGAGUAAUCCAGGUCAGUUUCUAUCUAUAAAAAAUUUUUUCUAGUACGAAAGGACCGAAAAAAUAGAGCCACUUAUAAUAAAAAAGCUCUUAAGCAGUUGAAAACAAAUAAAACACAUAAUAAAAGACACCCUUAGAGCAAGGACAGA
rnacentral:rRNA from 1 species